GAAUUAGAUUUAUCAUUAAUAUUUUUCUUACUUCCAGGAAAGAAAAAUGCCAGACUUUCUUUAGCCAGACUAUCAUCUUCUCUGAUACAACUUGCCUUUUAUCAUCCUAAAUCAACUCCAAAAGCAGCCUGGCAGGGCAGAGAUCAGAACCUGCCCCAUGGCAGGAGGGUGCGGCAAACCGCGCCCCCGAGAUUGUCCUAGUAAGCAUGCCCGACGGACAUAUGUGGAGCUGGCCGUGCUCUCUGCUCGGCUUCACUGGCUGCCCCUGUGUCCAUCCUCAUGGAAACCAAGCAAGAUGUUCCUGAUAACAGCAGAGCCUUAAUUUUACUUCCUCUUGAUGGUGCGCUGAUCAGACUCCCCAGUAUAGCUAUUUCCUAAUGAUCUCAUGUGACUUCUGCCAAUAAAAGUGAGGGCUGAAAGGAGCCAUCUUGUCUUCCUGCCAUGGAGAGCAGGAGGGCCCCCUGACUCCCCGCUUGCCAAAUAUAUGCAUCUGUUUUUUCAUUAUGUGCACCCCCCCCCACCCCCGGGUUUCAGGUCUUUCUCACCUGCUAUGCUGGACGCUGCACAUCUUUUUUGUAAAGAUGGCUUCAGGAAUUCAGAGUAGCCUUCCUAGAUAGCCAUGUAUAUUUUGUAUACUGUUAAACUUUAUCACUCCUGAUCAAGAUACACAUAUGUCAAACAUCGUUUUUGAUUCUCUGCUUGCAAAAGAAAAUUAUAUAAAAAAAAUUCCCUUGGGGGCAAAAUCUUUCCCUAACAUUUAAAGAAAAUAACAAUGAGAUUUUCUGUACCAAUUAUUUAUUUCACUGCAUCUUGAAUAUUUAUCAAUUACAUAUUUACUUUGGAGACUAUCUAGAGAUAUGGCAAUAAAAAUGUAGGCAACAAAGAGUCUUCAUAAUCCACAAAGACAAGGUUCAUGGUAAGAUAAGAAACAGGUCUAAAUCCUUGACUUGUAUAUUUAAUACAGACAAGAAGACAGAGGAUAUGGGCAACUCCCCAGCCUGUCUCCAGGUUCAUUCUCCUACCUGAUUGAGUGUUCAAAUUCAUAGCUAAGAAGGCUUAUCAGAUUGACACUUCUGAAAAGUAAAUAGUA